ACUCACUACAGUGCCGCAUGAAAGUUAAGGAGCUCAGACAAGCCUACCAGAAAACCAAAGAAGCAAACAGAAGGUCCGGGGCAGAGCCGCAGACACGCUGCUUCUAUGUUGAGCUGCAAGCAAUUCUAGGGGGGUCCGCCCCCACUACCCCACUCCUGUCCGUGGAUUCCAAGGAGGGGGUAAUCUCAGCCAUGGCUGAGGAUUCUGUGGAUGGGGAAGAGGAGGACGACGACGACGAGCUUGCAGACAGCACAUAGCAGUCCGUUCUCCCCAAUGGGCAGGAUCUUUUCUGAGCCUGACUGAAGUACCCUCCCAAGGCAUUAUCCCAGACCAUGAAGCCACGGAAGGGACUUCUGCUGCAAAUUUUUCAAGUCUCCUUCCUCCGUCUCGAAGGCUCUCUCAGAUAAGGUGGCGG